AGUAUGCACUUCAGCAAUACAAUAUACUAAAAUUGGAACAAUACAGUGAAGAUUAGCAUGACCCCUGCACAAGGACAUGUAAAUUUGUGAAUAAUUCCAUAUUAAC